CAUUACCUAUUUAAGUUGGUCAUUUUCGAAAAACACAUUAUUAAGAUGGGUCAUUUUCGUCUAUUCCAACCUUAGAAAACGACAAACCUUAAGUGGAAAACUUAUUCGUACGCAGAACAUUAGAGUUCCAAAUCCGUACGCGGGAACACUGGAUAAUUUUCCUAAACUAUAAUGGAAUAUAAAUUUCUAGUAAGUCAGGUAUUGAGAACUUGUGAAGAAGUGAGAGAAUUGGUCCAAGACUAUCCACAAGCAUUGCAGAAGCUGAUUUACCAAGAAAGAAGGAAUUCAAAGAGAAGUAAGGAGCAGAAUUUGACAGAAAGGGAAGAAUACAUAGCCUCCAAGCCUUGUUUUGUAUUUACACCGACGCCGUCCCCCUGCUACGCCAUUAUCCUCUUGAAGCCUCAAUUUCACCCUCUGCCAUGCUGCCUCCAAUCUCGCUGUCCCUCCAUCGAGCUUAGCCUUGCUCGCCUCUGUUAGAUACACCUUUUUUUUUCCAUUUUGAGUUUUGAUAGCAUAUUUUGCUGAUUGUUGCUCAACUGUUGUGUUGUGAAACUGUGGAAAGUUGUUCUUGCU